UGAACGCUGGCGGCUUGCUUACACAUGCAAGUCGAACGGCAGCACGGAGCUUGCUCUGGUGGCGAGUGGCGAACGGGUGAGUAAUAUAUCGGAACGUACCCAAGAGUGGGGGAUAACGUAGCGAAAAUUACGCUAAUACCGCAUACGAUCUACGGAUGAAAGCGGGGGAUCGCAAGACCUCGCGCGAUUGGAGCGGCCGAUAUCAGAUUAGGUAGUUGGUGAGGUAAAGGCUCACCAAGCCAACGAUCUGUAGCUGGUCUGAGAGGACGACCAGCCACACUGGAACUGAGACACGGUCCAGACUCCUACGGGAGGCAGCAGUGGGGAAUUUUGGACAAUGGACGCAAGUCUGAUCCAGCCAUUCCGCGUGCAGGACGAAGGCCUUCGGGUUGUAAACUGCUUUUGUACAGAACGAAAAGGUUUCUAUUAAUACUAGGAGCUCAUGACGGUACUGUAAGAAUAAGCACCGGCUAACUACGUGCCAGCAGCCGCGGUAAUACGUAGGUUGCAAGCGUUAAUCGGAAUUACUGGGCGUAAAGCGUGCGCAGGCGGUUAUGUAAGACAGAGGUGAAAUCCCCGGGCUCAACCUGGGAACUGCCUUUGUGACUGCAUAGCUGGAGUACGGCAGAGGGGGAUGGAAUUCCGCGUGUAGCAGUGAAAUG
rnacentral:rRNA from 1 species